rnacentral:rRNA from 1 species
UACGUAGGGACCGAGCGUUGUCCGGAAUCAUUGGGCGUAAAGAGCGUGUAGGCGGCUAUUUAAGUCCUGCGUGAAAUCCUGCGGCUCAACCGCAGACGGUCGUGGGAAACUGGAUGGCUAGAGUGCGGGAGAGGAGAGUGGAAUUCCCGGUGUAGCGGUGAAAUGCGUAGAUAUUGGGAGGAACACCAGUGGCGAAGGCGGCUCACUGGACCGGUUCUGACGCUGAGGCGCGAAAGCGUGGGGAGCAAACGGG